rnacentral:rRNA from 1 species
GGGAUAACCUACCUAUAAGACUGGGAUAACUUCGGGAAACCGGAGCUAAUACCGGAUAAUAUAUUGAACUGCAUGGUUCAAUAGUGAAAGACGGUUUUGCUGUCACUUAUAGAUGGAUCCGCGCCGCAUUAGCUAGUUGGUAAGGUAACGGCUUACCAAGGCAACGAUGCGUAGCCGACCUGAGAGGGUGAUCGGCCACACUGGAACUGAGACACGGUCCAG